rnacentral:miRNA from 1 species
CAAAACCGCAGUAACUUUUGU